AUUGGUUCUUUCCAAAAAAUAAUUGAUUAUAUGCAUACAUAUGGUGGUGGUAUACACAUCACCAUAUUAUCCCGAACACCAUCAUUGUCAAUGGCAGCAGCUGCCACAACUCCUGCAACAAUAACAACAACAACAACAGCAUCUUCGUCAUCAUCUGCGACAAGUGCAGCUGCUGCUGGUAAGUUAAUUUUUUGUUUUGUAUUUCAUUAGUAUGACUACUGUGUUAUUAUUAUGUAACUGUAAAA